rnacentral:lncRNA from 1 species
GCAGCUCAACCCCGUGCUCCGCAGCCCUGCAGAACCUGCCCCUGGCAUGACGACGCUGAACCUGAACAGCCCUGUGGCUGGCGGAGAACCAGUCGCAGCGAUGCUCAAGUUCCAGACGGAAGAGGACGAGCCACGGGCCAGAAAGUGCUCACCUGCUACCUGCUGCCCCAGCAGCCCCUCGGCCAGCCUCGGGUGAGCCGGGGGGUCCCAUGGGCCUGACCCCCAACGGGCGUCGCCCUGGCCCAGGCUGAGCUGAUGACCCUCCCUCCCUCCGAUAUCCUUCCUCCUUUCUCUCUCUCUCCAGAAAACCUUCUUUCAGAGCAGCGUGAUGACAGCUGGACAGACGCCAACCUCAAUCGGGUCAGCGUAAUCCAGUUCUUGAGGAACCUCAACGCGGCCGAGGACGAGGAGGGGGCCGAACGGCGGGUGAGGCCCUGGCCCGGCGGCCUGGGAGAGGGGGCGUUUGGGCCGGGGCUCCCGGAGCGGACUGACCCCCACCUCUACCCUUGCCCGGCAGGGCUUGCAAACGCAGAUGCCACCCCUCACCCAGUGAACUGAAGGUCAUUAAGAAAGUGAUCGAGGUGCGGCGCCACGAGGCCUUCCCGCGCCCUCGUCCCCCGCGGACCCGCCGGACUCUCCCGCCGCACAGGGCAAGAGACUCAGUGCCGGCUCCCAGCCGAGCCAGGAUUCCCCAGGGCUCUAGCACCAGCAACCGUCUCUGCGGGUGGCCCCGGGGAGCCCGAGGAGCAGAGGACGCAGGAAGCGGGGCCUCAACGGGAGCCCCACGCCAGCCGACAGCGCACAGCCGGAGGAGGCGAGCCCCGGCGCCCAGCGCGGAGCUGGACGAGGGUGCUGGCCGCCGGAGGAAGAGGAGGAGCAGGAGAUGGAAUACGACGAGGUGGGGCUGCUGGGGGCGAGGCCAGUGGAGGCCGUCAGUCUCUGGGUUCCCUAGCGGAGGCCCGGCCUCGCCUCGUGCUCAGGGUGGCCGGGGCCGGGACGGAGAGAGGGAGUGGAGGAUGUAUGCCACUGUGCUGUGCCCCCGCGGCUGCUACCGUUGGGACGUGGCAGCGUGGAGGUCGGACGGACCCGCCUCCCUACCCCACCCCCCGGCGUGAGGGUUCCCGCCGUCCCGGGAACCACCGGGGCCAGAGGAUAUCUGUCCGGGGUCCGGAGCCCCAGGGAGGGCUGCGGGGGCCGAGGUGGGGGCCGGGUCUCCCAGCCGCAGGCCGGUAGUGGAGCCCACAGCUUAGCCCCUUUCUGGCCCGGAGGGUAGGAGCGGCCUGGCUCCCGGCUGCCCCCGUCUCCCUCCCAGAAUGCUGUGGGGGCCAGGCUAAGGUCUCGUCCUCCUCGGGCCCGUCCCGUGGGAACAAGGGCCUUCCCUCGUAC